GUUUAUGUGUGGCAUUUUCAGUAAAGAAGUCCUGAGUAAAACGUUUCGUUGAAUACAGCUUCUCUGCCGAACCUUAUAUUAGUGCCUCAAGCAGUAAUGUCUCAGUUUUCUCAGUCAAUGCCUGCGGGCGAAGUAUAUACAUUAAGGAAUUUUGCAAAUGGCAAAGAUUAAAGGUCAAGUUAAGUGGUUCAACGAGUCUAAAGGUUUUGGUUUCAUUACUCCGGCUGACGGCAGCAAAGAUGUAUUCGUACAUUUCUCUGCUAUCCAGGGUAACGGCUUCAAAACUCUGGCUGAAGGCCAGAACGUUGAGUUUGAAAUUCAGGACGGUCAGAAAGGCCCGGCUGCAGUUAACGUAACUGCUAUCUGAUUUCGACACCUCUGAGCUUGAGACGCGUUUCGCGUAUCAAUGUCAGUUAUCAAGCCUCGCCACUGUGCGGGGCUUUUUAU
rnacentral:sRNA from 1 species